rnacentral:tRNA from 1 species
UAGCCGCUACGGACUUAAAAUCCGUUGGCUUUUUAGACCGUGAGGGUUCAAGUCCCUCUACCCCCA